GGGCGCUUAGUUAAAUGGCAUAACAGCGGUCUCCAAAACCGCUAUUGGGGGUUCGAUUCCCUCAGCGCCCGCCA
rnacentral:tRNA from 1 species